UGCUUGUCUCAAAGAUUAAGCCAUGCAUGUCUAAGAUCAUAUCGGUUAAUGGUGAAUCUGCGAACGGCUCAUUAAAACAGCUAUAAUCUACUCGAUUUUGAUAUCCUAAACGGAUAACUGCGAUAAUUUUGGAGCUAAUACGUGCACCAAAGCCCGGACUAACGUACGGGCGCACUUAUUAGAACAAGACCAAUCGGGCUUGCCCGUUCUGGUGACUCUGAAUAAUUUCGCUGAUCGCACGGUCUUGCACCGGCGACGUAUCGUUCGAGUGUCUGCCUUAUCAACUUUCGAUGGAAGUCCAUGUGACUACCAUGGUUGUAACGGGUAACGGAGAAUAAGGGUUCGACUCCGGAGAGGGAGCCUGAGAAACGGCUACCACAUCCAAGGAAGGCAGCAGGCGCGUAAAUUACCCACUCUCAAUGCGAGGAGGUAGUAACUAUCAAUAACGAGACAGAUCUCUUUGAGGCCUGUUAUCGGAAUGGGUACAAUUUAAACCCUUUAACGAGGAUCUAUGAGAGGGCAAGUCUGGUGCCAGCAGCCGCGGUAAUUCCAGCUCUCAAGGUGUAUAUCGUCAUUGCUGCGGUUAAAAAGCUCGUAGUUGGAUCUGAGUCUGUGGACGCGGUGCGCCUUUGGCGUAACUGUGCUCCCGGACUGUUUUGUUGGUUUUCUGCGCAUUGCCUUUACCGGUAGUGCGUGGUGGCUGACGCGUUUACCUUGAAUAAAUCAGAGUGCUCAAGACAAGCGUUUCGCUUGAAUAUUCGUGCAUGGAAUAAUGGAACAGGACUUCGGUUCGUUCUAUUGGUCUCAGAACCGAUGUAAUGGUUAAGAGGGACAGACGGGGGCAUCCGUAUCGCUGCGUGAGAGGUGAAAUUCUUGGACCGCAGCGGGACGUCCAACUGCGAAAGCAUUUGCCAAGAAUGUCUUCAUUAAUCAAGAACGAAAGUCAGAGGAUCGAAGGCGAUUAGAUACCGCCCUAGUUCUGACCGUAAACGAUGCCAACUAGCGAUCAGGUGGUGGUAUUGUUAGCCCUGCCUGGGAGCUUCCCGGAAACGAAAGUCUUCGGGUUCCGGGGGUAGUAUGGUUGCAAAGCUGAAACUUAAAGGAAUUGACGGAAGGGCACCACCAGGAGUGGAGCCUGCGGCUUAAUUUGACUCAACACGGGAAAACUCACCCGGCCCGGACACUGUAAUGAUUGACAGAUUGAGAGUUCUUUCUUGAUUCGGUGGUUGGUGGUGCAUGGCCGUUCUUAGUUGGUGGAGUGAUUUGUCUGGUUUAUUCCGAUAACGAACGAGACUCUAACCUGCUAACUAGUCUUGCGAUAAUUACGUCGUACGGACUUCUUAGAGGGAUCAGUGGUGUUCAGCCACACGAAAUUGAGCAAUAACAGGUCUGUGAUGCCCUUAGAUGUUCGGGGCUGCACGCGCGCUACACUGGAAGGAUCAACAUGCUCUUUUCCUGGGCCGAAAGGCCUGGGCAAACCUUUGAAAACCUUCCGUGAUCGGGAUAGGGAAUUGCAAUUAUUUCCCUUCAACGAGGAAUUCCCAGUAAGUGUGAGUCAUCAGCUCGCGUUGAUUACGUCCCUGCCCUUUGUACACACCGCCCGUCGCUGCCCGGGACUGAGUUGCUUCGAGAAAUGCGAGGACUGUUGCUAUGGGGCUAAUACCCCUGUGGCGAUGGAAAUCGCAUUAAUCGCAGUGGCUUGAACCGGGCAAAAGUCGUAACAAGGUGCGAUUAGGAGAACCUGACCGCGGAUCAUUGUCGAGCCUAAA
rnacentral:rRNA from 1 species